UUCUAAGAUAAAUUGGCCUUACAGGCUGAACUAAAAAGAAUGAGAUACAAAUACUUGACGGUUGGUCCUAAUCCAAAAUGGCCACUUCAAAUCAAAGAGGAAGACUGUCUAUGUAUUUUACUUCCUGUGUUUUUGGGGCUUUUUUUGUGGGUCUCAGUCAUCAUAGAUGUCUGAUCAAUUUUAUGUUGCAAAGAAAACAGGCUUUUGGAGGUGUUUUUCUUACUUAAUUGUAGAGUCCCCUCCCAGGCUAAACCACAAUGACAGACUUCCUGUGUCUUUUGGGGCUUUUUUUUUGUGGGUCUCCUCAUGAUA